rnacentral:rRNA from 1 species
UACGUAGGGGGCAAGCGUUAUCCGGAUUCACUGGGUGUAAAGGGAGCGUAGACGGCGACGCAAGUCUGGAGUGAAAGCCCGGGGCCCAACCCCGGGACUGCUCUGGAAACUGCGGCGCUGGAGUACGGGAGGGGCAGGCGGAAUUCCUGGUGUAGCGGUGAAAUGCGUAGAUAUCAGGAGGAACACCGGCGGCGAAGGCGGCCUGCUGGACCGUGACUGACGCUGAGGCUCGAAAGCGUGGGGAGCAAACAGG